AUAUGUAGUAUUCACAUCCGUAGUUAUUUCAUAUUCAAAAUUGUGGUUCGCGUUGUUGUUUUUUUUGUACCGAUACUGGCUGUUAAACAACAACCAGUAAAGUAGAACAACAGCGGAAGGUCAAACAUUGGGUUGUAAUCGACUAAACACCUGUAGCAAGACUGACCAAUCAAAUGCAAGAACUCGUCUCUAUGGAAACGGCGAACGCUAAAACAGGAAAGACCUAAGCAGCGCUACGGAAAUCCAGAUCAGAUAGGUGUAGGAUGGCAGGUACAUCACGACAUGACCGAGAGAUGGCAAUCAGUGCCAAAAAGCAGCUGUCAGAUUGUUCAGACCCCAUUGAGAGACUGAGGCUGCAGUGUUUGGCACGAGGGUCCGCAGGCAUCAAGGGACUGGGCAGGACUUUUAGGAUCAUGGACGAUGACAAUAGUCGCACACUAGACAUGAAAGAGUUCCUGAAAGGCCUGAGUGACUAUGGUGUGCUCAUCGAGAAAGAAGAGGCGAUAAACCUUUUUCAGCUCUUUGACAGGGACGGCAGUGGACUUAUUGACUUUGAUGAGUUUCUUAUCACUUUGAGGCCACCCAUGUCUAAUGCCAGGAAGGAGGUGGUGUUACAGGCAUUCAAAAAGUUGGAUAAGACUGGAGAUGGUGUGAUUACAAUUGAGGAUCUGAGAGGAGUAUACAAUGUUAAACAUCACCCCAAAUAUCAAAACGGUGAGUGGACCGAAGACCAAGUAUUCCGCAAAUUCCUGGACAGUUUUGACUCUCCGGAUGACAAGGAUGGAAAGGUCACAAAAGAGGAGUUUAUGAACUACUACUCCGGUGUGAGCGCAUCCAUUGACACAGAUAUCUACUUUAUAGUAAUGAUGAAAAAUGCAUGGAAGCUUGACUAAACUUCUGAAGCUUCUAUUUUAGGUGAUAGCAACAGGCACAGUUUUGACAGGGUCAAGUCUGAAAUAAGGUGACAAAAGAUGAAUUCUGGAACUAUUACAGUGGAGUCAGUGCUUCAAUCGAUAAUGAUGCAUAUUUUAUUUUAAUGAUGAAGAGUGCAUGGAAGUUAUGAAGGGAUUUGCUUGUAAA